UUAAUAAAGUAAUAUCGUGCAUUUUCGUUUAUUUAGACGAGGUUACUUGAACUACCUCAGCUUAAUCGGUCGAAAUCAUGCAGUCUUUAUUGUGCAUUUUAUUUUAUAUAGCCGAGGAAUUGUAACAUCGACUAAACAUUCUUCUUGAAAAUCAAAAACGCUUUAGGAAGGAUCCAAAAAUACCUACACUGAAUCUGAUACCGCGUUUUAAAUAGUUUUCUCUAAAACAUUAUUUCUACUUAUUACCACAAUUAUUAUAACUUAUUAUUUAACAAAGAACGAAAUAUGAAUAAUAUAUAGCUAUUUUCCUUAUGAGAACAGUAGAGAUAAGUAUUUUUUGUUAAGUAAUAAGUUGACAUAGAGAAAUAAGGAGAAAACCGUAUGACAUUGAAAUAGAUAAUAGCAUUGCCGUGACAUAAAUCUAUUUUGUCGUCUCGGCGUUAUUAUAAGUAAGGUUACCACCACUGCAUCUUUUUCAAAGUUAAUCUAUAUUUAGCGGAUCGUUCCUAUUUAGACAUCUAAAUUUGUAAAUCGAAACAAAGUCACUGUAAGGUGACGAAUCAAAUUGAAAAAAAAAUUAUAAGCGUUGACGUCAGCAUUUAAUUAAUCUGUUCAUAACGAAAAGAAAUUAUCAUGAAUCAACAAAAGAAAUUAAGAAGAUAUUAUCAACACACCACCAUGAAAGUACAUCUUUUUAAACGCCACAAUUUACUACAUAUAAAUUAUUGCAUUAAUACCUGUAAUUAAACACACCUACAAUUGUCAUAAUAUUUUUAUCCUUUUAAUAAUCCUGGUUGUAUUUAAAAAAUAAAAUAAAUUGUCGAGCCCAUUAUUAUCAAAGUACUAUAAAGAUAAGUUCAUUAUUAACAAUAUUAGUGAAUAGAAUCGAUAAUAAUAAUAUUGAUGUAGAUAAAAUUUAUGUCGGCACAUUCCCGCUUUUAUAAAUUUUUACGUUUUAAGUAUUGUCACUAUUCAUAGUACACUCAAUGUCAGCUUGAUAAUAAUAAAAAUAUGUUUUGGCACCGAAACUGAUGUUAAAAUUGUUCACGGCAUUGUAACGAGAAAAACGUUUAAUGCAUUAUAAUUUUUUUUUUAAACGAGAUAGAUUACUUAGCAGUUUUUGUUUCGAGAUGACUUUAAUUUUUUUUAUCUUUACUCAAUAAAUUCUAUUUUAAACUAAUAUCUCUAAUACUCAAAUUAUUAAAAUGUUUAAUAAAAUUGUUAAGUAAUCGUUAGAUAUUCGGAAAUAUGAAAUUAGAACGGAAUAAAAUUAAAUCAGUGUAAACAUAUUUAUGUGAUGUGUCUCCAAUGAAAUAAAAACAAAGAAAGUCAUUCAUAAAGUCCGAUGUGUUACAUUACUUGUAUUUUGUUGUUUUAUUCCAAUCAGUAAUAAAGAUUAAUCAUACUUU